AUUAACUUGAUUGGGAGAUAACUUGGCAUCCGAGCUCCGUUGGCACCCCAUUUCAUCUCUCGUUUCCGCAUAUGCUAAGAACCAGAUGGGAGAGAAUACCUAAUGCGAGAGACCGAUCGCAAGGAGAUCGAUGAAGAGGACACCAUGGAGCAGAUUCCCUCAGCGGCAUCCACCCAAGAUCACAGGAAUUUUCAGUCUACGUUGCAGGACUGACCUUCUCGUGAUUCGUGCAUGCCUGUGUGAUAAACUACCACCGACCAGCAUUAGUCGUGAUUGGUGCCACCAUAUAAAUAUCGAGCGAUGAUGACAGUUCCGACUUCUUCGCGCCCUCUUGUUUCGUUCUCGAGUCGGAGAACUUUUCGCUCGCAUCUUCUUCUUCCCGUGAUUACGCCCUCUGUUUCGUCCUCCCGUCCCUCCCUCCCUCUGCCUUCUCCUCCGUCUUCCCUUCUUCUGCCUCUUCCAUCUCCUCCCCUCCACCCGUUCCUCCUCCGUCUUCUCCGUAUUCCCUUCUUCUGCCUCUACCCUCUUCCGAUGACAAGCACGUUUCGAACUUCCCAUCCGAGUCCAUCGCCGCCGCCGCUGCAAGCUUCCAGGAGGUUCCCGUUGUGAAGCGUAAACCGUUGGGCUUCGUUGGGUCCGGAUCGAGCUUACUUUCCGUCGUAAGAUCGUACAUUGAGGGACUAGGAGGUAGGAAGUAAGAGCAAAAGAUACAUGUGUGACUGGUUACAACAUGGCCCAGUUUGUGGGCCAUUGUUGUUGAGAAUUCCAGUGAGGAUAACUAUUUUCAGGUAGUUCUGGUGCAACGCGUGUAGUUCUGUUCUAUAUGGGCAACAAAAGUGUGUUUCCAAUUUAUUAUCACCUAACUCUGUUUUCUACCAGGUCGUGUAUGGCCAGAAGAUAAAUGUGUGACUGGCCACAACAUGGCUUAUUGGACAAGUUAUUAAUGUUGAGGUUAGCUUUCAGGCUAAUUCUAGUGCACUGCGCUUAGGUUAUGUGUUGUAGGAUCAGUGGGUUUUGGUAUAGCCUUAAUGCAUCUUGCUGUUAUGUAGUCAAAUAUCCUGUUAUUCUUGAGAAAUGCUAUUUUGUUGUACUGCUGCCUUACUAACUCUAUGACUGUUAUGAAUAUAUUUGAUAAUUCAUAUAUCCGUGGAUUAUUACAUGCGGUUAGAAAUGAAA